UACAGAGGGUGCGAGCGUUGUCCGGAAUCACUGGGCGUAAAGGGCGCGUAGGUGGCGACCCAAGUCGAUGGUGAAAGCUCGCCGCUCAACGGCGAGUCGGCCACCGAUACUGGGUUGCUCGAGCACUGUAGAGGCUCAUGGAAUUCCGGGUGUAGCGGUGGAAUGCGUAGAGAUCCGGAAGAACACCGGUGGCGAAGACGGUGAGCUGGGCAGUUGCUGACACUGAGGCGCGACAGCGUGGGGAGCAAACAGG
rnacentral:rRNA from 1 species